AUCGGUAGCCUCGGAGAUCGAAUAACUGUGAAUCGAUGAAUCGUAAAACAGUUCGAAAUCCGAACUCACGAGAUCCAUUUCGGAUGAACUGGAAUUUGAGUGGAUGAUGAAGAAGGGGUCGUCACGGACAUCCUCAUCCGCUGUCGUCGGAAUAGCCACUUCCUGUUGCUUGAACGGAAGCCAACAAAUCGGGCAGUGCUCGAUCGAUCGAUCAUCUUUGUUGUCAUCUUUCUCCUUGCUGCCUUCAACCUCAUCAGUCUUCACAGUACAAGCUGUAACUAUGUCCAACAAUUUUUUUUGACCAAUUGAAUCGGACGAACCCAGAGAUUCCGAAUUUCAUGAGUUCAUCGUCUACAUUUUCAUGUUUCAAGAAUUUGUUGCACCUUAUAUUCUCCCCUCAGCCUUUAUUCCCUGACAACUCCAAGAAUUAUUCUACAAUUCUCCUGUUUGAUAUUUUCUCAACAAUAUUGCAUUAUAGAUACCGUUUUCAGAAGAACCGGCUACUUCCAAAACUCUGCUUCCUGCUUUAUCUUUUUCAUCCGACUCAUUCAUUGUUUUCUGUGAGAAUAAUUGAAUUUUGUUAACACGAAUAUUAGUCAGAGCUCUCCGGUAAAAGGCACAGAGUCACACGGGAUAACAUAAUGAUGUAAUACCGAUAUGUGUUAUUUUGCUUUAGCAGCAAUGCAUAAUUGUUUUUAUAUUAUUGUAAUUAUCUCAAGAUCUAAAUUUGAAACUUGAGCGAACUUGCUUCAGAAACUACAUCAUUUUACCUAUUCAAUGAAUGCACAAUUCUUACUAUUAUUCUUGGCUUUCUUCUUGGAUUCAAGUCCGGAGCAUCGCCGUCGUCGCUGCUAUCAGUGUCCAUAACGCACAUAUGCCUUCUUUUCUUAGAUUUCCCUUUUGAUAGCUGUUUCCCACCGUCUCUUGACAUUCUUCUCAGAUUCGAACAAAAUAUACUUGUAUGUUCCAAAUUAUAUUGGCACUCUGAAACAGAUAUAUAUAUAUAUAUAUAUAUAUACUAUUAUCAAAGCCUCAAUGCCAUCCGAUGUACAA